AACGAACGCUGGCGGCAUGCCUAACACAUGCAAGUCGAACGAAACCUCCGUGCUUUUUUGCGCUCCUGUAGUUAACACCUGGGAACCUGCCCUUAGGUUCGGUAUACCUCCCCUAGAGGUGUCCUCAUACCACUUAAUCUCUUCCCACCAAAGAUUUCUCGCCUUGUGAUGGGCCCUCGUUGGAUUCGCUGGUUGGUAGGGUACAAGCAUACCAAGGCGAUGUUCCAUGGCUGGUCUGUGAGGAUGAUAAGCCCGAAUGGAACUGCGACACGGACCAGACUCGUACGGGAGGGAGGAGUGGAGAAUAUUAGACAAGGGGCGAAAGUGUGACACAGCAAUGCCGCGGGAGAGAGGAAGGCCUUAGGGUUGUAAAGCUCUUUUAGCCGGGAUGAUAAUGACAGUACCGGGAGAAUAAGCACCGGCUAACUCCGUG
rnacentral:rRNA from 1 species